AAUCCCGGCUCGGGGAGGUAGUGACAAAAAAUAACAAUGCGGGACUCUUAUGAGGCUUCGUAAUUGGAAUGAGUACAUUCUAAAUCCUUUAACGAGGAACUAUUGGAGGGCAAGUCUGGUGCCAGCAGCCGCGGUAAUUCCAGCUCCAAUAGCGUAUAUUAAAGUUGUUGCGUCUAAAAAGCUCGUAGUUUGAAAACUUGCCUUGGCUUACAACAGACGUCUAAGGGCGUCACCGUUUGUCGAGAGCAAAUAUGGGUGACUGUUCUUGCCUUCUUCACUGAUUGGCUCGUAAAAGUCAUCGAAGAUCACUUUGAUUAAAUUAGGGUGCUCAAAGCAAGUGUGCUACUUGAAUAUGAAUGCAUGGAAUGAUGGAAUAUGUUGUUGUUCUAUUUGUUGGUUUUUUGAAUGACGAAAUGAUUGAAAGGAACUGUUGGGGGCAUUCGUAUUGUUGUGAGAGAGGUGAAAUUCUUAGACCAUAGCAAGACGAACUACUGCGAAAGCAUUUGCCAAGAAUGUUUUCAUUGAUCAAGAACGAAAGUUAGAGGUUCGAAGGCGAUCAGAUACCGCCCUAGUUCUAACCAUAAACUAUGCCGACUAGCAAUUUGCUUUGUAUUUUUAUGACUAAGUGAGAGGCCACGGGAAACCAAAGUAGGGUUAUGGGGGAAGUAUGGUUGCAAAGCUGAAACUUAAAGGAAUUGACGGAAGGGCACCACCAGGAGUGGAGCCUGCGGCUUAAUUUGACCCAACACGGGAAAACUUACCUGGUCCUGACACUAGAAGGAUUGACAGAUUGAUAGCUCUUUCUUGAUUUGGUGGAUGGUGGUGCAUGGCCGUUCUUAGUUGGUGGAGUGAUUUGUCUGGUUAAUUCCGAUAACGAACGAGACUCUAGCCUAUUAAAUAAUAUGCGGAAUCAAUUUCUCCCGCGUUAUUUCUUAAUGGGAUCAAGCGUGUUUAACGCUUUGAAACAGAGCAAUAACAGGUCUGUGAUGCCCUUAGAUGUUCGGGGCUGCACGCGCGCUACAUUGAAGAACAAAGUGAGCCCUCUGGCUUUUAACAAAGCUAGAAAUCUUUUAAUGUUCUUCUUAAUGGGGAUAGGGGAUUGCAAUUGUGCCCCUUGAACGAGGAAUUCCCAGUAAGUGCUAGUCAUUAGCUAGUACUGAUUGCGUCCCUGCCCUUUGUACACACCGCCCGUCGCUACUACCGAUUGAAUAGUUUAGUGAGAUCAUCUGAGUGUUUGUAUGUGCAUUCUGUGCUUGUAUGGUGUACGAAGAAGAUCAAACUUGAUUAUUUAGAGGAAGUAAAAGUCGUAACAAGGUUUCCGUAGGUGAACCUGCGGAAG
rnacentral:rRNA from 1 species